rnacentral:rRNA from 1 species
AUGCGUGACAAACACAUUGACAUAGUUGCCAUUCAGGAAACCAUGCGAACCGAGUUUUCCCUGGCGGAGCUCGAGCGGUUGAGUUCGCACCUGUUCUCGUGGCAUUGGCACCCUUCUAGUGGGAUUGCCGGCCACUCCAGUGGCAUCCUUUUAGGCGUAAAUGAUGCCACCUUCGAGGAUGGUAGCAUGGACCGGGGCGAAUUCUUCGUCAGCAUGGAACUUCUCGAGCAUGUGAUACGAUCUUGA